UCUUCCGUUCUGUGGGGUAGAUUGCCAACAUCGCCGCAGACCCUUGACGCCUUUUAUGUGUGCCGAUACCCGCCUUGGCAACGCAACGCGUUUGGACCUACUGAGGACAGUCUGCCCUGGUUGACAGCCGCACCAAGAGCAAGGAUCCCAAUCCCUCCCCGCAGG